rnacentral:rRNA from 1 species
CACUAUCGUUAACUGAAUACAUAGGUUAACGAGGCGAACCGGGGGAACUGAAACAUCUAAGUACCCCGAGGAAAAGAAAUCAACCGAGAUUCCCCCAGUAGCGGCGAGCGAACGGGGAGCAGCCCAGAGUCUGAAUCAGCUUGUGUGUUAGUGGAACGGUCUGGAAAGUCCGACGGUACAGGGUGAUAGUCCCGUACACCAAAAUGCACAGGCUGUGAACUCGAAGAGUAGGGCGGGACACGUGGUAUCCUGUCUGAAUAUGGGGGGACCAUCCUCCAAGGCUAAAUACUCCUGACUGACCGAUAGUGAACCAGUACCGUGAGGGAAAGGCGAAAAGAACCCCGGCGAGGGGAGUGAAAAAGAACCUGAAACCGUGUACGUACAAGCAGUGGGAGCACCUUCGGGUGUGACUGCGUACCUUUUGUAUAAUGGGUCAGCGACUUAUAUUCUGUAGCAAGGUUAACCGUAUAGGGGAGCCGCAGGGAAACCGAGUCUUAACUGGGCGUUAAGUUGCAGGGUAUAGACCCGAAACCCGGUGAUCUAGCCAUGGGCAGGUUGAAGGUUGGGUAACACUAACUGGAGGACCGAACCGACUAAUGUUGAAAAAUUAGCGGAUGACUUGUGGCUGGGGGUGAAAGGCCAAUCAAACCGGGAGAUAGCUGGUUCUCCCCGAAAGCUAUUUAGGUAGCGCCUCGUGAACUCAUCUUCGGGGGUAGAGCACUGUUUCGGCUAGGGGGUCAUCCCGACUUACCAACCCGAUGCAAACUACGAAUACCGAAGAAUGUUAUCACGGGAGACACACGGCGGG